UUCCAGAGAAAUCUAGACGAUCCUUUGGGUAAUAUCAUAAUCAGGUCCUUGACUGAUAUAUUCAGUUUUAAAUUUGCUUUACAUAAUGUUAUAUUAACGGCAAACAAAAUAGCUAUGCAGAAAACCGUCUCAACGAUUGCACAUGAGCAGCGGCCAAGUUGCAUAACACAACAAUAAUCACUGCUUUUUCUGGUUAAAUUAAACUUUGAGUAAUUGAUAUAAAUAAUAUGAUAACCUGUUCAACUUGUUUUUAACUUUUUUGACCUGUUCGAUUUCAGAAAAUAGGCGUUUGAUACUUUUGUCGCUUUAAACUAGCAUAACCCUGGCAUCAGAUUCUGCACAUCCUAACCAUUGCUAACGAGUUCAACACAAUAUCACUCUUACGGGCGUGGUAGUGCCGUGGUCAUCAUCGUUUCAUAAAGAUAGAAAUAGCAGCAUUUACCAACUCUCUUUUUUUGUGACGCAAGAGGUAUCCUAAAAUUGAAAAAAAAAAAAAUUCUCUUUUCACUCUAGAGUAGUGAGUGAGCUUGCAUAGGAUAUAUUCCGAUGCGAAUAGAUUGAGGCUUCAUUAUAACCUAUGCUGUUCGGAAAUUGGGAAUCGGCCUUCAUUGAAGAAAAGUUGACUAAAAACUUGGAUUCGAAAUGAAGAUUCCGAUUCAAUACAUUCUUCUUAUGUUUAUCGAGACAUUUCCAUUCAUUAAAGGUGAGAAAUGCUGGGCGCCUAUGGUUUGCGACGGGCAACCUACUUGGAGAGACGUUAAUACGACGGGACAGUGCACAAAAGACGAACAGAAUGCUUUGAAAGGUUUCGCAGCUUUAACUGAAAAAUUAGAC